rnacentral:rRNA from 1 species
UACGUAGGGGGCCAGCGUUGCUCGGAAUUACUGGGCGUAAAGGGCGCGUAGGCGGUGGGGUAAGUCUGGUGUGAAAUCUCGGAGCUCAACUCCGAAAUUGCACUGGAUACUGCUCUGCUAGAGGGUUGGAGAGGAGAUCGGAAUUCACGGUGUAGCAGUGAAAUGCGUAGAUAUCGUGAGGAAGACCAGUGGCGAAGGCGGAUCUCUGGACAACUCCUGACGCUGAGGCGCGAAGGCCAGGGGAGCAAACGGG